rnacentral:misc_RNA from 1 species
UGAUCUACACUUAAUCGCCGUUUCUUCUCGGCGACAUGGCCUGAUUCUUCUACACAAGCUUCUUCAUCUAAGCCAUCCAACAUGGAUUGAAAUUCUCUCCCAUAAACAUGGUUGCCGUUUCUCGGACUAUGCUCGUCUGUGGUUGGGCAGAUGGACAUCAAAGCACCAAGGGAAUCAGAGCUGCCAAGUCUCUUCAUGACUCUGAAAGAAAUAAAGAAAAGAACUCUAGAACAAAAACCAGAUCUUCUGUUUAGAGAUCAAAUCUUCCACUUCUUUAUUAGUCUUUUGUGUGUGGGCGAGCUAGCUUGUGGAUUUUAGUGAGAGAUCCUUUAGGAGCUCAAGAAAUGCUUCUCUUUAAUUUUUUUUUUUGGCUUUGUUAAGGUACAAGAUUUUUUUUACUUGUAAGGAGAAUUUUUGUGUAUGCAGCUAGACCAACUUGUAUAGUACUGCUGUAUACAACUGCACCCCCACUGCUCUCUCUUGUCUCUCCCAUCUUUCUCCUUUUUCAACACUUCUACUGCAGACUCUCCUCCCUCUGCACCCAUCCAAAAGAAACCAAGAAAAGAAAGAAAGAAACACCAACACAAAACAAAACCCAACAAGCAAAGCUUUCUCUCAAAGCUAAAACAAAACCCAACCCACAAGAGAAGUUAUCAAUAUCAUGCGCUCAAGAAUACUAUUCCCUCUCUUCCCCCUCAUUCUCUCUCUCUAAAUCAUUACUCAAUCAAUUUUGUCUUAGCUAAGAAUUUAGAAUUCUGCAUCCAAUAGUCUAUGACUGUUCAUCUACAAAGAAAACCAGAGAGACAGAGAGAGGAAGAGAGAUGAGAGAGAGAGAGAGAGAGAUGAGUGAACUAG